rnacentral:rRNA from 1 species
GACGAACGCUGGCGGCGUGCUUAACACAUGCAAGUCGAACGGUGAAGCUCCAGCUUGCUGGAGUGGAUCAGUGGCGAACGGGUGAGUAACACGUGAGCAACCUGCCCCUGACUCUGGAAUAAGCGCUGGAAACGGCUACUAAUACUGGAUACGAGAAGGGUCCGCAUGGGCACUUUCUGAAAAGUUUGUCGGUUGGGGAUGGGCGCGGGGCUAACUAGCUUGUUGGGUAGGUACUGGCAAACCAAGGCAACGACGGAUAGCCGGCCUGGGAGGGCAACCGGCCACACUGGGACUGAGACACGGCGCAGACUCCUACGGGAGGCAGCAGUGGGGAGUAUUGCACAAUGGGCGAAAGCCUGAUGCAGCGACGCCGCGUGAGGGAUGACGGCCUUCGGGUUGUAAACCUCUUUCAGCAGGGAAGAAGCGAAAGUGACGGUACCUGCAGAAGAAGCACCGGCUAACUACGUG